UACGUAGGGUGCAAGCGUUUAUCCGGAAUUAUUGGGCGUAAAGAGCUCGUAGGCGGUUUGUCGCGUCUGCUGUGAAAAACUGGAGGCUCAAUCUCCAGCCUGCAGUGGGGUACGGGCAAACUAGAGUGCGGUAGGGGAGAUUGGAAUUCCAGGUGUAGCGGUGAAAUGCGUAGAUAUCUGGAGGAAUACCGGUGGCGAAGGCGGCAUCCUGGACCGACAUUGACGCUGAUGAGCGAAAGCUAGGGGAGCAAACGGGG
rnacentral:rRNA from 1 species